CCUACGGGUGGCUGCAGUGAGGAAUAUUGGUCAAUGGGCGCGAGUCUGAACCAGCCAAGUAGCGUGAAGGAUGACUGCCCUAUGGGUUGUAAACUGCUUUUAUAAAGGAAUAAAGUGAGGUACGUGUGCCUGUUUGUAUGUACCUUAUGAAUAAGGAUCGGCUAACUCCGUGCCAGCAGCCGCGGUAAUACGGAGGAUUCGAGCGUUAUCCGGAUUUAUUGGGUUUAAAGGGUGCGUAGACGGGUUGAUAAGUUAGUGGUGAAAUCUCGGGGCUCAACCCCGGAAUUGCCAUUGAUACUGGCAGGCUUGAGUUCAGUUGAGGUAGGCGGAAUGUAUGGUGUAGCGGUGAAAUGCAUAGAGAUCAUACAGAACACCGAUUGCGAAGGCAGCUUACCAAACUACGACUGACGUUGAGGCACGAAAGUGUGGGGAGCAAACAGGAUUAGAUACCCGAGUAGUC
rnacentral:rRNA from 1 species